ACCCAUCAACGCUCGGUUGCCCAAUCGCAUGCGGACAGUGGCCCUCCGAGCCGCAGAGACACGACGGGCUGAAGCUCGAGGCCGUCAACCGUGUCGGGAGCGGCAAGUGGUGGGCUACAACGCAUGCCAACCCCGACCCUCGUCGACAAAUGGCUUUUCCCAGAUCCCACAACAAGGAUACCGUCAUCCCGGCCUUGCUGUUGCGCGGCGCAUUCAGACU
rnacentral:misc_RNA from 1 species